rnacentral:lncRNA from 1 species
CCGGUCCAUUUUCUGGCUAAGCAACUCUAUGGCAGGGAGUGUGUUUAAGAAGAGAGUGAUGCUGUUGUUAGCCUGUUUUGGCAUAAUUAUGACUCAAUCUCACUUAUCUUCUGAAGCAAAUUCAUACUUUACUGUGUGGCUAAGCUAAGAGGUCUUAAUAUUAUUGAGAAUGUUGUGGGAUUUUACCAUCUCAGCUGAUGUCCUUGAGACUCAAGAGUUCUCUGAUUGAUAAGAAUAUCGAUAUGAAGCUCAACUAUAGAGCUCGUCAGAAAGCCGACCUCAAUGGAAGGCUGAGAUCAUCAUAAAGCCGGUCUC